GAUGAACGCUAGCGGCAGGCCUAACACAUGCAAGUCGAGGGGUAGAAGUUGCUUGCAACUUUGAGACCGGCGCACGGGUGCGUAACGCGUAUGCAACCUACCCUGUACUGGGGUAUAGCCCGGAGAAAUUCGGAUUAAUCCCCCAUAGUAUUAUUGAUUGGCAUCAAUUAAUAAUUAAAGGUUACGGUACAGGAUGGGCAUGCGUCCUAUUAGCGAGUUGGUGGGGUAAAGGCCCACCAAGGCUACGAUAGGUAGGGGGUCUGAGAGGGUGGUCCCCCACACUGGUACUGAGACACGGACCAGACUCCUACGGGAGGCAGCAGUGAGGAAUAUUUGUCAAUGGGCGCAAGCCUGAACCAGCCAUGCCGCGUGCAGGAAGACGGUCCUAUGGAUUGUAAACUGCUUUUAUUUGGGAAUAAACCUCCUUACGUGUAGGGAGCUGAAGGUACCAAAUGAAUAAGCACCGGCUAACUCCGUGCCAGCCGCCGCCGUAACAC
rnacentral:rRNA from 1 species